AGCAGAGAUGGCCCAGGACCAGGGACUCUGCAUCCUAAAUAUCACCCCUGGUGUUUCUGAUGCAUGGGAACCAAGACCUACACUGCGGGAAUUACAAAAGGCUUACACUUGUUUCUAAGGGGAUAGCAUAAGACCUAACGAUUCCAAAGUGCACACAGUUCAGUUUCGAUUUGUUCAGCCCUGGAUGGCAACAUGAGCUGCGCCCACCUGUCGGCAGGGAUUUCUCUGUGAACAUCUACGCUCUGACAACAGCAUCUGUAGGAGGACCCUCCCGUCAGCAUCUAACUGCACACUGCCCGACAUGGCUGAUUUGAAUUUCCCAGCCACUACUUAUUUGCUAUAGUGGGAAACAGGGAAAAGUCUGAUUCUACCAGUGACCAGUUUAAAAGAUGAAACAAUCCUGAAGUCUGACGUUAGACAUCAGGAAUCAUUAAUAAACCUUAAGAAAUCUUCACAGAUGCAACAAACACAGUCAUAUCUCAUUUUAUUGUGCUUUGCUUUAUUGCGCUUCACAGAUGUUGCAUUGUUUAUAAAUAAGGCAAGACCCUUCAGCAGCAAAAAGAUGCCUCGCUUUACUGCAGUUGUCUGGAACUGAACCUGCAAUAUUUCUGAGUAUGCCUGUAAUAAGGGUUUUUGUUUGUUUGUUCGUUUGUUUUUGUUUUCUGUUGAACUAAUACAGUCAGAUAGAUGUAGACCAAGCAAAAUCCAUUCUGAUUUGGCUUAUCUAAGGGAUCAGUCUUUAAAUAUAUAGUUAGGACACUUCAACAUGCCACAUGAAUAAGAAUAAGUGACAACUACAUUGCUCCAGUCUGGUCUUGUGUUUAUUCAAAAUGACCUCUCAUCGAGGAUGCCAGGUAUCCAGGCUGGACUUCCAGUGCUAAGCUAUGAUCUAGGGACACAAGUUUUCAAGGUUAUUGGGAUCUCUGUAGAGAUAAAAUACUGUCAUACCGCUCUGACAAUUUUUACCUUGAUCACUCCUCUAUGGGAUAUUUCAUAAAAUUUCUCUGAUGCCUUCCCCGCUAUCCAGAAUAAGAAGUGGAAAUGUUUGGUUUAUAAGGGCAGAGAGUAGUGUGCUUUCCCUGAAUUCCGAAGAGCAUAUAAUUAAUUCUUUCCAAGAUCUAGAAGUAAGAAAAGCUGAAUAAAAGGCUAGUAAUAUGCCAUGUUUGACCAUUUCUGAACCUGAACAUCUUGGGCAGAACUAAAUCAUGGAUAUGGGAAAGAGGCAAGUAAUUAUUUAUGGAGCACCUCAUAUUAGCUUGCUCAGUAUCUGAAGGCGUUAAGUGUUUGAAUAUGAGCUAGUUAUUAUUUAAGAGUGGCCAGAGAAGUUGUUUGUAGUCAGUGUAAGUCAACAUGCCAGGUGAUCGGUGUUUCAAGUACAAAGAGCAGAAUUUGUGAGGUUGACUACAGCAAAGACAGAACUGCACUUUGCAGGGUGGUCCCAGUGUGAGCCCAUGCUAGCUGGUCAGGUUUGAUCUCCAGACUGUUCUGGAUAGCCUGUAAUUGGAGAUGGUAGAACAGAUACGUAAAAUAUAAAGACAAACUUAAACAAAUACACCAGUCAAUUACCUGUACACCUUUCCACUAGGAAGUGAGGUGGGAAAUAGCAAGGCAUCCAUUUUAGAGCCAAGAAGCUAUGCGAUAACUUUCCACUGUGGUUGGGCUGCCUACCACAGGCUGGUCUGGUUUCUCCCUUCUCACUAAAUGGGGGAACUCUGGGAGCCACAAAAACAGUGGCCCAGGAGUGUGAUUUGUGGAGUCCUUGUGCCAAUGUGAGGACAGAGAAAUCCUUAUGAGGAAAAGGAGGCAGCCAUCAGACAAGUAUGUGCCUCUACAAACUAAGAAAAUACUUACCACUGGCAUCUUGGAGCUUUAGUUUCCUGAAAGCAUUCUUUAUAUGUGUAUCUCUAUCACCACCAAAGAAGCAACUGAGGUUAAGAGCCUUAAGGAUGAACAAAAUAUCCUGAUUUUCUUAUGAUUACUUUAGUGAAAUAUAGAUUCAAUUGAAAGGCAUUGUUGUGGAGUGGAAAUAACUGGAUUUAAAAUCAGACUAGAUGCAGAUUUAAAUCCUGGUUUACUCAUACACUAACUCUGGGACCCUAAGCAGGUUAUGUGAUAUCUCUGUGCCUCAGUUUCUUUAUCCUCAAAGACGGGUGCCAUCACCUACCUCUUAUACUGUGAUAGGGGUCAGUACAGUUAGUAUAGCAUGGUGGUUACAGCACAUAC